rnacentral:pre_miRNA from 14 species
AAAUAAGUUCCAGGCCCCAUGCCCCGAUAAUGGCUCUGGAAUGUUCCUAAUGAAAGACCCCUGGAGCGGGAGACCCUCACUCAAGUCUCGGGAUGAUGCGACCCCCCAAGAACUCACAUGAGACC